UCCCAUAUAUUCUAGUGGUUAGGAUUUGGCGCUUUCACCGCCAAGGCCCGGGUUCAAUUCCCGGUGUGGGAA
rnacentral:tRNA from 1 species